GAAGGCUUAAUGUGACACAAGUCACAACAGGAAGCUAGGUGACUCGGCUUCGCUGCUCCUGUCACGACGCUUGGGCAGGCUCAUCCAUUCGCCCAUCCGAUCUGUGGGAAGCUGCCUCUUCCCCGUGUACCCCAGUCAGACCACAUAUGGAAACCCUGGUGCGCAGAUUCCAGCUGCCUUCUAGUUCUAGAGUACAAGUCCAGUCUGCUGCCCAGAACCACUAAGUGAGAAAACUGACUCCAAAACACCCUUGGCCAGUGGACAGGACUUGGCUUCUC